AGAAAUGUUACCCUUUAUCCCCAGUUUAGGGCGUAGUCGUGAAGAAUCAAAACUGCCAUCUUCAUUCCUACCAAGGUCUAGGGAGAAAAGAUUUUGUGUUAUUGGAGAAGCAAGUAGAGUUCAUGAUAAUGGUUGACAACGUUUAUGGUCAUAUUUAGUUUCAGAAGUAUUAAUCAUAAGGAAUCUACAUUCCACUUGGUGCUCCGUUUUCUUGGUGGCAUGCAAAUUUUUAUUAAGACUUUGAUAAGAAAGAUUAUCACUUGAAAGGUAGAAAGUUCUAACACCAUUGAUAAUGUAAAGGGUAAAAUCCAAGACAAGGAGGGGAUCCCACCUGACUAGUAGAGGUUGAUCUUUGUAGGGAAGCAGCUAGAGGACGGAAGGGCUUUAACAGACUAUAACAUUCAAAA